GAUGAACGCUGGCGGCGUGCCUAAUACAUGCAAGUCGAGCGAACGGACGAGAAGCUUGCUUCUCUGAUGUUAGCGGCGGACGGGUGAGUAACACGUGGAUAACCUACCUAUAAGACUGGGAUAACUUCGGGAAACCGGAGCUAAUACCGGAUAAUAUUUUGAACCGCAUGGUUCAAAAGUGAAAGACGGUCUUGCUGUCACUUAUAGAUGGAUCCGCGCUGCAUUAGCUAGUUGUUAAGGUAACGGCUUACCAAGGCAACGAUGCAUAGCCGACCUGAGAGCGUGAUCGGCUACACUGUAACUGAGACACGGUCCAGACACCGACAGGAGGCAGCAGUAGGGAAUCUUCCGCAAGGGGCGAAAGCCUGACGGAGCAACGCGGGGUGAGUGAUGAAGGUCUUCGGAUCGUAAAACUCUGUUAUUAGGGAAGAACAUAUGUGUAAGUAACUGUGCACAUCAUGACGGUACCUAAUCAGAAAGCCACGGCUAACUACGUG
rnacentral:rRNA from 1 species